AAACGGCGGGACCAGCAGCGACGGUAGCAGCAGCAUGGCCGCGAUCUAUGGGGGUGUAGAGGGGGGAGGCACACGAUCCAAGGUCCUUUUAGUCUCAGAGGAUGGGAAGAUCCUGGCAGAAGCAGAUGGACUGAGCACAAACCACUGGGUAAAAACCAUACUGAGGGGAUCAGAGGGCUUGGUUCUGAUUUUAUUCUCUGUAAUUCCUGUUGAGGUGGUGGCUGGGACUCACAGAGCAGCCUGUGGGGGCAACAUAGCUUCUGUAAGCCUUUGUAACUCCUUCUUCCCUUGAUUGGGGCCAGCUGAUCGGGACAGACAAGUGUGUGGAGAGGAUCAAUGAGAUGGUGAACAGGGCCAAACGGAAAGCAGGGGUGGAUCCUCUGGUACCGCUGCGAAGCUUGGUGAGUCUGGGGUGGAGCCUGGGAAUUCAGCCAUCAGUGACACUGAGACAGCUAGCAAGUUUGGACUAGAUGAGUUUGAUGACUGCAGAGGGAAAGACCUCCAAGACUUAGUCCCUGGUGUCAAAACUGUCAUAAUCUCACCCAGUCUCAUGGCUUCAGUUGCCACCUACAAACUACAAA
rnacentral:sRNA from 1 species